rnacentral:rRNA from 1 species
GGAUCCUUCGGGAUUAGUGGCAGACGGGUGAGUAACGCGUGGGAAGCUACCUUGUGGUAGGGGACAACAGUUGGAAACGACUGCUAAUACCCUAUGAGCCCUAUGGGGGAAAGAUUUAUCGCCAUGAGAUGUGCCCGCGUUAGAUUAGCUAGUUGGUAAGGUAAUGGCUUACCAAGGCGACGAUCUAUAGCUGGUCUGAGAGGAUGAUCAGCCACACUGGGACUGAGACACGGCCCAGACUCCUACGGGAGGCAGCAGUGGGGAA